AGUCGAACGGAAGUCGUUGUAAUGAAAUGGAAAUGGACAGAGAACUUGUUCGAAGAAAGUUGAAGUAGACUUACAACAAUGGCUUUAGUGGCGGACUGGUGAGUAACGCGUAAGGAACCUGCCUUUUAGAGGGGAAUAACAAUGAGAAAUCAUUGCUAAUACCGCAUAUGCCGAGAGAAUCACAUGGUACAAUCGGGAAAGGAGCAAUUCGCUAAAAGAUGGCCUUGCGUCUGAUUAGAUAGUUGGUGGGGUAACGGCCUACCAAGUCGACGAUCAGUAGCCGGACUGAGAGGUUGAACGGCCACAUUGGGACUGAGAUACAGCCCAGACUCCUACGGGAGGCAGCAGUCGGGAAUAUUGCGCAAUGGAGGAAACUCUGACGCAGUGACGCCGCGUAUAGGAAGAAGGUUUUCGGAUUGUAAACUAUUGUCGUUAGGGAAGAGAAAGGACAGUACCUAAGGAGGAAGCUCCGGCUAACUACGUGCCAGCAGCCGCGGUAAUACGUAGGGAGCGAGCGUUAUCCGGAAUUAUUGGGUGUAAAGGGUGCGUAGACGGGAAGAUAAGUUAGUUGUGAAAUCCCUCGGCUUAACUGAGGAACUGCAACUAAAACUGUUUUUCUUGAGUGCAGGAGAGGUAAGUGGAAUUCCUAGUGUAGCGGUGAAAUGCGUAGAUAUUAGGAGGAACACCAGUGGCGAAGGCGACUUACUGGACUGUAACUGACGUUGAGGCACGAAAGUGUGGGGAGCAAACAGGAUUAGAUACCCUGGUAGUCCACACCGUAAACGAUGGAUACUAGGUGUAGGAGAUAUUAAGUCUUCUGUGCCGUCGCAAACGCAAUAAGUAUCCCACCUGGGGAGUACGGC
rnacentral:rRNA from 1 species